GAUGAACGCUAGCGGCAGGCUUAAUACAUGCAAGUCGAGGGGCAGCAUGAUUGUAGCAAUACAAUUGAUGGCGACCGGUAAACGGGUGCGGAACACGUACACAACCUUCCAAUAAGUGGGGGAUAGCCCAGAGAAAUUUGGAUUAAUACCCCGUAACAUAGCGAUGUGGCAUCACAUUGCUAUUAUAGAUUUUUCGCUUAUUGAUGGGUGUGCGGCUGAUUAGAUAGUUGGCGGGGUAACGGCCCACCAAGUCUACGAUCAGUAGCUGAUGUGAGAGCAUGAUCAGCCACACGGGCACUGAGACACGGGCCCGACUCCUACGGGAGGCAGCAGUAAGGAAUAUUGGACAAUGGACGCAAGUCUGAUCCAGCCAUGCCGCGUGAAGGAUUAAGGUCCUCUGGAUUGUAAACUUCUUUUAUAAGGGACGAAAAAAGGCUUUUCUAAGUCGUCUGACGGUACCUUAUGAAUAAGCACCGGCUAACUCCGUGCCAGCAGCCGCGGUAAUAC
rnacentral:rRNA from 1 species